rnacentral:rRNA from 1 species
UACGAAGGGUGCAAACGUUGCUCGGAAUUAUUGGGCGUAAAGCGCACGUAGGCGGCAUUGCAAGUCGGAUGUGAAAUCCCUCGGCCUAACCAAGGAAGUGCAUCCGAAACUGCAGUGCUUGAGUACUUAAGAGGAUCGCGGAAUUCCCGGUGUAGAGGUGAAAUUCGUAGAUAUCGGGAGGAACACCAGUGGCGAAGGCGGCGAUCUGGGAAGAUACUGACGCUGAGGUGCGAAAGCGUGGGGAGCGAUCCGG